rnacentral:lncRNA from 1 species
GGCUGCUCUGUCUGUGGAGUAGCCAUUCUUUUAUUCCUUUUUUUCUUAAUAAACUUGCUUUCACUUUGCACUGUGGACUUGCCCUGAAUUCUUUCUUGCGUGAGAUCCAAGAACCCUCUCUUGGAGUCUGGAUCAGGACCCCUGUCCUGUAACAUCUUCCUGGAGAUCAUGAAGGGACUAUAGUGAGAAAACCCUGACUCAAUGGCUACCUUUGGGUAAAUGUUGGGGUCCUGUAACAUCUUUCUGGCAAUGACAGAAGUGACUAUACUUCGGAAACCCCUGAUCCAACAAAAGCUAACUUUGGGUAAGUGGUGGGGUCUGGUAACAUCUUUCUCUCGAACCACAAAAGGGACAAUACUGAGGAGACCCUCCGACGCAAAGGAAAUAGACUGGAGCACUGAUUGGACAACUUUGGCUUGGCCCCCAGGGCAAUGGUGCUGCAAGCUGGAUCACUGGGGCCGCUCAGGGAAAGGGAAUCCAGAAGCCUGGCAUGCUGACAAAAGGAUAUUGCCUUUUCUCAAAACUCAAGAGUUAUGAAUGGACCUUACCAUACUGAUGCUUUCUCACUGAGCUCCUGUCUACUCUGAAUGCAAGAAACCCUCAUAGUUAGGCAGGAAUAUCAUAAUCGCUAUUCAGCCUGAAGAAGUUAAAGAAGAUGGAUCUUCAUCCCUCUGCAACUCUUACGAUUAAAGAGUUCUCUUAUAAAAGGGGGGGGGGGGGGGACAUGAGAGGUGUGUGAACCAGAGCAACUCCAUCUUAAAUAGGAGCUGGGUAAAAUGAGGCUGAAACCUACCAGGCUGCACUCCCAGACAGUUAAGGCAUUCUAAGUCACAGGAUGAGAUAGCAGGUCAGCACAAAAUAAAGGUCAUAACAACCUUACUGACAAAACAGGUUGCAGUAAAGGAGCCAGCCAAAACACACCCAAACCAAAAUGGCAACAAGAGUGACCUCUGGUCAUCCUCACUGCUACACUCCCACCAGUGCCAUGACAGUUUACAAAUGCCAUG